rnacentral:rRNA from 1 species
GACGAACGCUGGCGGCGUGCUUAACACAUGCAAGUCGAACGAAGAGCGAUGGAAGCUUGCUUCUAUCAAUCUUAGUGGCGAACGGGUGAGUAACGCGUAAUCAACCUGCCCUUCAGAGGGGGACAACAGUUGGAAACGACUGCUAAUACCGCAUACGAUCUAAUCUCGGCAUCGAGGAUAGAUGAAAGGUGGCCUCUACAUGUAAGCUAUCACUGAAGGAGGGGAUUGCGUCUGAUUAGCUAGGUGGAGGGGGAACGGCCCACCAAGGCGAUGAUCAGUAGCCGGUCUGAGAGGAUUAACGGCCACAUUGGGACUGAGACACGGCCCAGACUCCUACGGGAGGCAGCAGUGGGGAAUCUUCCGCAAUGGACGAAAGUCUGACGGAGCAACGCCGCGUGAGUGAUGACGGCCUUCGGGUUGUAAAGCUCUGUUAAUCGGGACGAAAGGCCUUCUUGCGAAUAGUGAGAAGGAUUGACGGUACCGGAAUAGAAAGCCACGGCUAACUACGUG